AUGGAAGCGAGCACGCAUAGUUCCAGUGGCUUCUCGUCGGUUCACCCAUUAAAAAAAGACAUCAAAAAUCCCCACCGAGCAGCUUCUGUGGACCUUAUCCACAUCGCCAUUCCUUUCUGGCAGCACCACUUCUCCUUUGCCUUCUCUCUAUCCAUCCAGCGGCUCUGCUCUCCUUCCUCUCUCUCUCUCUCUCCGUGCUGCAGCCACACACACGCCCACGGCCCGGCAUUCACCUCUCUCUUCUUCCUCCACAACGAACCAAGCACCACUCUCUGCUGGACCGUGGCGCCAGAAUCGAGCACGGGUGCGCGCGGCUGUCUCACCCGUGGCCGGUGGCUGCUUCACAUUCGUCGACAGAUUGUGACGUUGCUGCUGCUCGUAUGGGCUCCCGGUGGCCGGGCCAGCACGUGCCGGGGCUGGCUGGGCUCCCAGCAGCCGGCCUCCCCGCCUCCUCCAACAUCGCCUGGAGAGGAGCUCAUCUGUGCUUCCGAGCCGCCUCCUCGAGCAGGCCAGCCAGAGGGAAGGGAGUCGCCACAUGGAACACAACUGGAACGCCCCGCCUUGGAGCUCGCUGCCUCCGGCAACCUCUCUGUCGGCCUCGUGCUCCAACGUCUCGAGCACCCCCUCCUGGCCGUCGUCCAUCUCUUGGCGGUGCCUGUUAGGCAGGCGUUGAUGCUUAUCCUCGGCUCUCUCUUUGUCAGCUGUCUCCUUCAGGCCGAGGAGGAUGAAUGGGGCUCUCACAGCUGGGCCGCUGCGGCCGCGUUGACUGAGGGCGAGCGCGCGCGUCCGGCGCAUAUGGCCCCGCCUCCGCGCCUCUGCUCCUGCUCCUCCUCUCGCCCGGGCAGCGUCCCGCACGCGCCCUUCAUGUGCUCCCCGCCGUCGUCCUGCGCCCGAUCGGAUCGGGAGCGCCGCAGCUCGAUCUGCACUCGAUGUACAGCCCAAAAAGAUCUCGAACCGUUUUUUCUUUAA
rnacentral:rRNA from 1 species